rnacentral:rRNA from 1 species
AACGAACGCUGGCGGCAUGCCUAACACAUGCAAGUCGAACGAGACCUUCGGGUCUAGUGGCGCACAGGUGCGUAACGCGUGGGAACCUGCCCUUAGGUUCGGAAUAACUCCCCGAAAGGGGUGCUAAUACCGGAUAAUGUCUUCGGACCAAAGAUUUAUCGCCUUUGGAUGGGCCCGCGUUGGAUUAGCUAGUUGGUAGGGUAAAAGCCUACCAAGGCGACGAUCCAUAGCUGGUCUGAGAGGAUGAUCAGCCACACUGGGACUGAGACACGGCCCAGACUCCUACGGGAAGCAGCAGUGGGGAAUAUUGGACAAUGGGCGAAAGCCUGAUCCAGCAAUGCCGCGUGAGUGAUGAAGGCCUUAGGGUUGUAAAGCUCUUUUACCCGGGAUGAUAAUGACAGUACCGGGAGAAUAAGCUCCGGCUAACUCCGUG